AUGAUAGCCUUCAAGCCAUACAGCUCACAACCACAGUAGCUGUGAAAACUACCAACCUAGCAACCACUGGAGGAAACAAAACAGGUUUAGAGCUCACCAAAAAGCCCAAGACUUGUCACUGUUAGACCUGUCAGUCAGCUACCCGGAAAAGCUCCAUUCUCCAGGAGACUGGCUAAGGAAGAAUGCGAUCUGUGGAAACAACAGAACUGGCAUCACCUGAGAGCUUGCAGAUACCGCAGAAACUCCGGCCCUACCCAGAUGUACUAAAUGAGGUCCUCCGUGUUGCUAUGCUAAAUUCAACUGAAGAAGCUGAAGUAUUGCACCUUUACGCUACAUACUUUACAGUUCACAAAUACACUAUUUCAUGUAUGACUUGUCCUCUCUAAACUGAGAGAACAGACUAACCUGGGAGAAGCUGGAAUUUAAACUUUUAAAAUUAAUCGUGACAUCUUAGCUCAAGUAACUGUAACACAUGGUUUGACUGCCUUAGGAAAAUACAAAGCAGAAAAGCUUUAACUUUGAAACUCAAGCAAAAAUAUUUGAGAAUACAUCUUCCACCUCAUACUCCCCACGCACCCAGUAAUACUGCAGCUGCCUUCAGACUAUUAAAAGUCCCCAGGUCCCUUAAACCAGUUCCAAGUCCCCACCCCAAUCAAAGGACAAUGCCCAUACAUACAGGAGCUAUGACUACAGCUACAGGCCAAUGCCUAUACAGCAUAGGAGCCAAUUAAAGAGGCCAUAAGUGAAAGUACUUAGGCAUAAGGAAACAAAAUGAAAAAUAAAAAUAAAAGAAAGAGGCCAUAACUACUAGAAAGAGUGCUGGUCACGAGAACUAAGUUCUACUCUCCACAAUCAACACUAAUAAUGUGACUUUGGGUUCAUUCAUUACUCCAUUUUCUCAUGGUUAAA